rnacentral:miRNA from 1 species
UAGCAGCACGUCAAUACUGGA